rnacentral:rRNA from 1 species
GCAGUCUGCAACUCGACUGCAUGAAGCUGGAAUCGCUAGUAAUCGCGAAUCAGAAUGUCGCGGUGAAUACGUUCCCGGGCCUUGUACACACCGCCCGCCACACCAUGGGAGUUGGAAGCACCCGAAGUCGGUGACCUGACCGAAGGGAGGAGCCGCCGAAGGUGAAGCCAGCGACUGGGGUGAAGUCGUAACAAGGUACC